rnacentral:rRNA from 1 species
UACGAAGGGGGCUAGCGUUGUUCGGAUUUACUGGGCGUAAAGCGCACGUAGGCGGAUCUUUAAGUCAGAGGUGAAAUCCCAAGGCUCAACCUUGGAACUGCCUUUGAUACUGGGGAUCUUGAGUCCGGGAGAGGUGAGUGGAACUGCGAGUGUAGAGGUGAAAUUCGUAGAUAUCAGGAAGAACACCUAUGGCGAAGGCAGCACUCUGGGACGGUACUGACGCUGAGACGCGAAAGCGUGGGGAGCAAACUGG